UACGGAGGGUGCAAGCGUUGUCCGGAAUCAUUGGGCGUAAAGAGUUCGUAGGUGGUAUGUUAAGUCUGGUGUUAAAGGCAGAAGCUCAACUUCUGUAAGGCACUGGAUACUGGCAAACUUGAAUGUGGUAGAGGUAAAGGGAAUUCCUGGUGUAGCGGUGAAAUGCGUAGAUAUCAGGAGGAACAUCGGUGGCGAAAGCGCUUUACUGGGCCAUUAUUGACACUGAGGAACGAAAGCCGGGGUAGCAAAUGGGAUUAGAUACCCCAGUAGUCCCGGCCGUAAACGAUGGAUACUAGGUGUUGCGGGUAUCGACCCCUGCAGUGCCAUAGCUAACGCGAUAAGUAUCCCGCCUGGGGAGUACGCACGCAAGUGUGAA
rnacentral:rRNA from 1 species